rnacentral:tRNA from 1 species
AACUAUUAUGACAGAACUAAUGUGUUAAAUUUAAAAUUUAAGUAUGAAAUAAAUUUCUUUUAGU